CGUCCCUGGCACGAUGUAAGAGAAAGUCCAGGUUGUACCCAUUCUACGUCCCUGACACAUUGGUAUGUAUGAUAUGUUAUGUUAAGAGAAAGACCGGUUGUACCCAUUCUACGUCCCGGCACUUUAGAAUGGAGAGGACUAUAGGUGACAAUACCAUCCGAGAUGUGAUUUGUUGUGAUGUGUUGCAUUUCAUGAAAGCAUGAAAUUUUAAUAUAUGAUUUCACUAUUAUGCUCACUGGGC
rnacentral:lncRNA from 1 species